rnacentral:rRNA from 1 species
UUUUCGCAAUGCCCGAAAGGGUGACGAAGCGACGCCGCGUGGGUGAGGAAGGCCUUCGGGUUGUAAAGCCCUGUCAGGAGUUAAGAAAUGUAAGUGUGCUAAUACCGCAUUUACUUGACGAAGGCUCCAAAGGAAGCCACGGCUAACUCUGUGCCAGCAGCCGCGGUAAUACAGAGGUGGCAAGCGUUGUUCGGAAUUAUUGGGCGUAAAGAGCACGUAGGUGGGUUUGUAAGUCAGAUGUGAAAGCCUUCUGUUCAACGGAAGAAUUGCAUCUGAAACUGCGAGUCUUGAGUGUAGGAGGGGAGAAUGGAACUUCUGGUGGAGCGGUGAAAUGCGUAGAUAUCAGAAGGAACGCCGGCAGCGAAAGCGAUUCUCUGGCCUAUUACUGACACUCAGUGUGCGAAAGCUAGGGGAGCAAACGGGAUUAGAUACCCCGGUAGUCCUAGCCGUAAACGAUGGGCACUAAGUAGAGGGGUU